UGAGAGUUGAGAAGCGAGAGUUUGCAUGAGAGUUGAUGAGAGUUGAGAAGCGAGAGUUUACAUGAGAGUUGAUGAGAGUUGAGAAGCGAGAGUUUGCACGAGAGUUGAUGAGAGUUGAGAAGCGAGAGUUUGCAUGAGAGUUGAUGAGAGUUGAGAAGCGAGAGUUUACAUGAGAGUUGAUGAGAGUUGAGAAGCGAGAGUUUAUAUGAGAGUUGAUGAGAGUUGAGAAGCGAGAGUUUGCAUGAGAGUUGAUGAGAGUUGAGAAGCGAGAGUUUACAUGAGAGUUGAUGAGAGUUGAGGAAACGAGAGUUUACAUGAGAGUUGAUGAGAGUUGAGAAGCGAGAGUUUGCAUGAGAGUUGAUGAGAGUUGAGAAGCGAGAGUUUGCAUGAGAGUUGAGAAGCGAGAGUUUGCAUGAGAGUUGAUGAGAGUUAAGAAGCGAGAGUUUGCAUGAGAGUUGAUGAGAGUUGAGAAGCGAGAGUUUGCAUGAGAGUUGAUAAGAGUUGAGAAGCGAGAGUUUGCAUGAGAGUUGAUGAGAGUUGAUUUGAUAUGAC